CCUACGGGAGGCAGCAGUGGGGAAUAUUGCACAAUGGGGGGAACCCUGAUGCAGCGACGCCGCGUGAGUGAAGAAGUAUUUCGGUAUGUAAAGCUCUAUCAGCAGGGAAGAAAAUGACGGUACCCGACCAAGAAGCCCCGGCUAACUACGUGCCCGCAGCCGCGGUAAUACGUAGGGGGCGAGCGUUAUCCGGAAUUACUGGGUGUAAAGGGGGCGUAGACGGCGAGGUAAGCCUGAAGUGGAAGCCCGCGGCCCAACCGCGGAACUGCUUUGGGAACUGUUUUGCUGGGGUGUGGGAGGGGUAAGCGGAAUUCCUGGUGUAGCGGUGAAAUGCGUAGAUAUCAGGAGGAACACCGGUGGCGAAGGCGGCUUACUGGACCAUAACUGACGUUGAGGCUCGAAAGCGUGGGGAGCGAACAGGAUUAGAUACACGAGUAGUC
rnacentral:rRNA from 1 species